rnacentral:tRNA from 1 species
GCCAGCAUGGCAUAGUGGUUUGAGUGUUGGACUAUGACUCUGGAGACCAAGGUUAAAAUCCCAGUUUGGCC